UCAAGGCCACUUCUCCCUCCCUCCCAAUUACUUCCCUCAAUUGGACUCUCUCAAUAGAACCCUUACUCGCGUCGUUCCUCCUUCGCACCCUCGUCCUUCGCUUCCGCCGUCCCUCCCUCCGCCGUCCCUCGCUCUCUCAGUCAUCUCUGUCGACCUCGCAAUUGGUUCACUCACGCUAUGGAAUUCGCUGCGUGAAAGUUACUCCAUCGAUGAAGUUACGAAACUAGUUCUUGGUCGUGACUCGUACCACCACCAUGGAUGAGAACUCAAAGGUCGUCGAAGUCCGACCUCCCUGGUUGUUCCAUCAAUGGGGACACUCCUUAACUCCAAUCUACCAAAAUACAGUUUUUAGAGCCUUGGAAGGAGAAGUGUCGCUUUCUGACCUAAAUGAAGGAAAUAGGACCCGGACAGAGUCCAAACUACAGCUCAUAUGAAAGCUCAGAUUAUGAUACCUCCAAUUACAAGGACGACACAAAGAAAUUCAGGCAGAUGGUCCUUGCGAGCACAGAGUACGGUAGCAGCGAGUAUGGUGGAACGACCAGCGAGUACGGUCUGAACCUUUCUGGUUGGAGUACUGAAGCCCAAAGUCACCAAACGACUCGAGAGAUGAAAGGAGAUAGUAGAGGUUUCAGUGGAACUUCUUGAUUUUCAGUGGAAGCUUAGACAUUUCUUCAUGUAAACAAGUCCCUGAAUCCAGAUUGUGAAAAGGAAAAUUAAGUGUUUCAUAGAAGUAUUAGAUUGUGAGUGUCACAGUAUUCUCACACAAUUCUUUUGUUUACUUUUGGGGUAUAUUCUCUUUACUUACAGUGAUGGCUCAAGAGCUAUGUUUGCCCCUUCUACUGCUCUUACUCUUUUUAUCAGUUUGGACAGGUGGGUGUGGGUGAUAAUGCUGACCGCCGCUUUCCUGUGCAAGUUUCGUUUCCCAAUGAUCAGGCAAAUCCUUAUGCUUGUUGCUUCCUUUGCUAUAAGUCAAACUCAUUCUUACCAGGGGGAUCUCUGCUUAUUAACAUCUAAUAUGUAUAAUUAUAAGCUUAUUGACGUUUAUAACUAUUAUAAAAAAGCUCAAUGAAGGUGCUGACUGCUGAGGGUCAAGGGUAGGAUCUUUUUGGUUGCUAAUAUAACCUUAUUUCCCCCUCUUAAUCUGCUAUGUUAUCUCUCAUUAAUAGUAAUAAGUUCGUAAACUUAAAAUUACAACUUCGGGUUACUUGUAGAAUUCAACACUGAACUCAUGAUGUGGCUCAUUUUAUUCUGAACUCUGAAUGACACCUACAGUUUUCUA